rnacentral:lncRNA from 1 species
UUUCAAACUAUAAGGUGUAAGUAUAAUUUACUCUUGAUCUAAAUUUUUUUUGUAAUUUACUCUUAAUAAAAUGGUUGGAUUCAGGUUUGUAUUUUUGACCCAUUUAAUAAACAAGUUAGGUUCGAGCGGACAAAUUUUUAAUCUAACUUGUAUCUAAGCCAACCGUUAUCUUGUCCAACCCAAUCUAAUUGCCGCCCGUAGUUCCAAUCUAAAUAGACUCAGCCCAACGUACUCUAAAAAACUUGUUAGGUUGGAAUGAAAAGAAGGGCCUAUUUUGAAAACCGAAUUUGCCAUGGAUUUUUUAAAUUCAUAAUUGACUGAAUCUGACUUGGCCUGUACAAUAACUAAUCUAGGCUAGAAUAAAAUCUACAUACCUGACCCAGAAACCAUUUCAUAUAAAACCCCCUUCCUAAAGCUAAUAGUCCCUCUCCACCUUUACAAGAUCACUUGAAAAGGCUCGAAGAAAUGCUAAUCCCCUCUUCUCACCUUAGUGCCUCAACCUCUUGUCACC